GGAGAGAUGGCCGAGUGGUUUAAAGCGAUGGAUUGCUAAUCCGUUGUACAUCCUUUUGUACCGAGGGUUCGAAUCCCUCUCUCUCC
rnacentral:tRNA from 1 species